GACGAACGCUGGCGGCGUGCCUAACACAUGCAAGUCGAGCGAAUGAAGUUCCUUCGGGAAUGGAUUUAGCGGCGGACGGGUGAGUAACACGUGGGCAACCUGCCUCAUAGAGGGGAAUAGCCUUCCGAAAGGGAGAUUAAUACCGCAUAAGAUUGUAGUAUCGCAUGAUACAGCAAUUAAAGGAGCAAUCCGCUAUGAGAUGGGCCCGCGGCGCAUUAGCUAGUUGGUGAGGUAACGGCUCACCAAGGCGACGAUGCGUAGCCGACCUGAGACGGUGAUCGGCGACAUUGGGACUGAGACACGGCCCAGACUCCUACGGGAGGCAGCAGUGGGGAAUAUUGCACAAUGGGGGAAACCCUGAUGCAGCAACGCCGCGUGAGUGAUGACGGCCUUCGGGUUGUAAAGCUCUGUCUUCAGGGACGAUAAUGACGGUACCUGAGGAGGAAGCCACGGCUAACUACGUGCCAGCAGCCGCCGUAACAC
rnacentral:rRNA from 1 species